UAAAAGCAGCUUUCCAUUCUUGGGACUCUUAAUUUAUCUACACAAAGUUAAAUAAACCCACAAGCUGUUCAUUGCAUUUGAAAAGCACCUCUUUAAAUGUCAUGUAAUUGUUUUGAUGAGAAAUAGUUGGGACCUGCUGAUUCCCUUUUCUUUUCAGUGUUUGUGUUCAAAUGAUGUCUGAUGUAUGUGAAUAUAACAAAUGUCUUACUCUUCUGUAUGUCUUAUUCCUGACAGACUUUCAAAGAUGACACACUGCUUUGUAAGCAUAACAAUAAGUUAAUCCUGUGUUCUCUUCUUCAGUCUCUCACGAACUGAAGAUCCUCCGGCUGUGUGUGAGAUUUCUCCAUUAGUAUCUUACUUUGGAGAGGGUCUGGAGGCGUGCAUGAAGAACAAAGACUUCUGUUCUCCCUUUAUACUCGAUGAAAGCAAAGCAGAAAUGCUAGGAAAUUCUUGAAAAGGAGGGAGGACUUCUCCUCAAAUCAGAUACGUGUCUGUCAGAGCCAUUGAAAGAAAUGACACUGCUAAAAUGUCAGUUAUGAAGUGUAUUAUGUAUUAUGAAAAAUCGCUUUACAGUAUCAGAUAGUUGGCAAAUCCUUGAAGCAGUUGUGUUUGUACAGAUGUGCAUAUGUACCAGUUCUGUUUGGUAACUUUGAAGGGUAUGCCUUUUACUUUGGUCUAUCUUGUAGACUGAUGUGAAUGAAGAUUAAUACCUUCCAGGUACCAAAUGGAUUUUAUAUUUCUUAUUUGUUAUGCAUACAGAUAUGUAACAGUAAAUCAGAAAUUAAUCAGCUUUGCAUUCAAGAAGGUUAAAUCUCUGCAGUGACUUACUAUGUAUCUUAUUUAUAUCUUUGUUCCAUUUUUUUGUUGUUAUUGUUUCUGUUUUUUUUUUGUUUGUUUGUUUGUUUUUCCUGUGUGCACAGCUGAAGAAGAAUCAGUAUGAUGCCCCACCCUGAAAAGUAUGGAAUGACUUUGUGUACUAGGUCCUCUGUCUCUAAUCUUGUGCUGGUUAGUAGACCAAGUUCAGCACAUCCUCUAACUGGGUUAUGCAGAAGAGUCUCUGUAGGUAGGGAUCCUUUUAUGUGUAAGUUUUGCUUGAGAUUUGGCCUCAGAAGCAGAACAGGCUAUUUUGCAUAUGUAGGCUCAGUGGUGAUAUUCCAAGAAAACAUAACUAAAUAUGCAGCUCAGGCUGCAUACUCUUUACAGCUGUAGUGAACAGUUCUUGUUAUUAUUAUUUUUGAGGGGUUGGAGGUGGGGCAAAAAAAAGGCUGAGAACUGUUUUCAUAAUAACCUUCUACUCUUUCUGUUUUAUGGCAAACAUUUAUUUUGCUUUCCUUUUUUUUUUUUUUUUUUUGUUUGUUUAAUGUAUAUCCUAUCCCUCAAAGGGCAACUCUUUUAAAGUGGCUGAAAGUAAUAGGAGGAACAUGCUGUGAUGGUAGAAAAUAGAAUUUGAUGUGUAAUCAAAAGCAGAAAAUUACCUUUCUUUUAAAAUGUAUUACUAACUAUAAUGUGAAGAUAAUUGUCAGCUAAUUAAGGACAGUAAUUGUCAGAACACAUGUAGCACAUGAACUCAGCCUUGGCUGAGGGCUUCCACGGUGACCAUGAUACAAAGCUCCUGUUUAGCUCCAGCAGACCUGUGCCAUGUGGGCAGCUGCCCAGAACAGAACCUUCACUGAACACACCACAUUUCACAUUUCACAAAGAUUCUUUGUGUGCUCUGCUGAGUGGAACUGGGUGGAGGAGCAUGCUAUGCUUUUCACCCAAAUCGGGUAUAAGGAAGGUGAUGAGGAAGGUAAAACAUUUCAGAUGAGGCAUCAUCUGAAAUACCAGGUCUCAGUAUCUGUUUCUACUAAGGAAUUGCUGAUGCUGAUAUUAAGCAUUAAUCUUUUACAUAAGUGAUUUUCUGAAAUUCCUCAUAUGAAGCUGUAUUCAGAAUGUUGGAGAAGUAUUAAAACAGCUUUGAGAGUAAUUACAAUUUAUAAGUAGAUUCAUGUGUUCCAAAGGAACCAUUUAAAUGUCAAUGGCAAAAUUUAAAGAUAUAAAGUGUAUCUAGAUAUGCAUAAGUAAUUAGCCUUUUGCACAUGCAAACCAGCUAAUUACAGUUCUGAUUACCUCAUUUUGCAUGUGCAACCAGUAACCAAUUUUUAGUAUAAGUUAAGCAUUUGUCUUUGAUGCUCAAUUUUGUAAUUUUUUUGCACAAUUUUGUAUGGGUCAUUUUAAUUCCUGUCGAUCAAUUUUUACAUCUGAGAAGUAAUGGCAUAGUAUCCUUGUAAGUAUUGCUUGUCAAUUCAGGCACAGGUUGCUUUAAGUUGCACUGUGCUAUAAAGAAAGGAUAUAUAUAUAUUUCAUUUAUAAACUGCUUUCUCUUUUGAAACUCAAGUAUAGCCCAUUUUCUAUGUGCUUAAAUCAUAUGAACACUGAACUGCUGACAUGAUUUUUAGAGAUUGUUUUCAAGGUGAAACUGAAUUAGUAUGAUGAACACCUUUUUUUUUUUCCCUAUGGCUCUUCAUGUUUUAAACUGGAACAUUAAAAGAUUCUUGAGGGAACUUUAAAAAAAAAUCUCACCUUCAUUGUGAAAUGAAAAAAAAUAAAAUCUGAAAUAGAGGGGGAUCCCGUAGUGUUCCAGAAACUUUGGGAGACCUAAGCUUUUUCAUAAUAAAUAUGAUACUGCGA